ACUGAACCCCCUACGCUGGAUAAUUAAAUCAUACAAAGUUUAAUUUUUGUUUUGUAUGUACAUAUAGUGGAUGAUUUCUUUAUAUCUUGAAUUUCUCAGUGAAAAUCCUGUGUCCGUCUCUACACAACACACUAUAAGAAAUUUCAGAUUCUGAGUUCAUCAAAGUAGACCCAGCUACUCCUGUGCAUAACGACAUGAAGAACAUAAAUAGAACAUAGUUUUAUGAUGUUUAAAAAUCCGGAGGAAGACGCCACGCAUGAAGGAAAAAACGAGGACACAAGGAAUAUAAAAUUAGAAGAAAAGGCAUACAUAUAUAUUUUUUAUUUUAACUAUCUAAUAAGCAUGAUCCAAUUAAUUAAAAUAAAGUAGAUAUUCAUUACAAUUCUACCAUGUUCUACGAUCUUCUGCCCUUUGCCAUCCUUCAUCCGAUCAGUUUUCUACUGGUUUUGUUUCUUUUUCCGGCUGCAUCUUCCUCCAACUUUUUGGGUUGCGCCUGUCAAUUACUAAUGCUUUUGUUAUAUCGGUUUCACGAAAGAGUAAUGCUUGGAAAACAUUUCAGCAAAUCACAUGGGGGCGUAUCAAGUCCAUUUUCAAGACUUAUAGCUUCCUUCAAGGAUUGUGCAGGUACUCUUAUGAGAAAAAAGCUAUUUCGCUCACAGGACAAAAAGGUGCUCCUUCAAUCCAUUAUUUAACUUCUUGCCUUUCUUCUGGUACUUCUGCAACCGAACAACCAACUCAAUGUGCCAGAUCAACAUCGGGAACAUGUAAUGAACGUUCUAACUUACGCCAACCACCGACAAUUGUCAGAGGUCUAUUUGUAUCACACUGUUACAUUACAACUUCCUGAGGAAUAUGAGUUAUAAGUUCAAAGCCUCUUUUUUCUUGGAAAUCCUGCAACCAAAAUGAAGGUUGUUAGAGCUAUUCUUCAAAACCACGGGGACAAGACAAAAAUGCAUCUGACAUAUGCUAACGUUACAUCUGAGGACAUUCUUCUAAGGAAAAUAAAGUAUUUACUACAGCUUGCUGACUUUUUGUCUGGUACAUAGAAGUUCCAGUGACCUCUAUAGUCAUGAAAAAAAGGUAAGCAAAUUUACUACUGCACCUAACUUAACUGCACUUUGCAAGUUCAACUAAUGCUUCCUUGAUAGCAUGAUAUUUUCUUCAGCUGGAUUAUCGGUAAACCACGUUGCCUGCUGAUUCACCUAUCAUCUCUCCAUUACCUUAAAUUUAAGCUCUCCUUUGCAAUGUACUUUCUUCAGUGUUUCUCGUACUGGCUGCUGGUGCUUCUUAGUAUUUGCUAGGGAUGCUUCUUAGUAUUAGGAGUCUUGAAAAAAUGUUUACAAAGGUAAAAAUGAUCUCCAUACAUUGUGAAACUUCCCUAAGAACAGGCAAAUUCAUUCAAGGCUACACUGCCAAAUAAAGAAGUUCAGGUGAUUGUGUGAAAAGAUUUACAAUUUAGCUCUUAUUUGUUACGCAACUCUAAAGUUCCACUUAUUAAGUUUUAGAGUGCUACAAUCCUAUAGAUUUAUGUGUAACCUGUUGUGAUUUGCAAUAUAUUUUUCUAACAUAAAUGGGAUAAAAUGUUGACGGAGACAAGACACACAUAAAAAAGAAAUUAGUUCUUCCUCUUCCAAGUGCAUUUGUAUGAAUGAAGACAAUUCAGUUGUUAAACCUGUUGGAGCAUUACUAUUACUACAGACCUUUGAUGAGAAGGAGAAAACUAAAACCAAGGUAAUUUCUACACUAUUUUGUUCUAAUGUUAUAUGCUUAGUUAUAAUCCAAAAUAAUUGUGCUUUAUAUUUCAUGUUGUACUUUAUAGGUGCAUGUACUGUAGGAAUAAAUUAGGUAUUAAAGAAUACAAAAUUCAGACUUUAACAACAAAAUAUAUUGUAAAACCUUGAAAAUCAGAAAUUUAACAAGAAAAGAAAGAUUGACAAAGCCCAAAUUGAGCAGACGGGGAACAUCCAUGUCUUUGUGCCAAAAGUAGUGUUGAAACCGUUAGGUGACGUACUGCAUAUAGACAAAUGCCACCUGACAAAAGGUAGCACUUCUGGAAUGAUAUCGAGCAGAUAAUGCUGUGAGAUGGCUUCGUCUCUCUGUAGAUUCUUCUGCUAAUUAUUCUAAUCAGACUUUCUGAACUUCAAAGUGUGUUAGUGGGAAAGUUGCUAUUUCAUUACAGACAUGCCACCUUCUCGCUAGAAUGAUUGGUUGAAUUAAACUCUACAUUACAUUAACAAACAUGGGCAUACGUUUGUUAAUGUGCGAAAGGUUAUGCUUACCAAUACUUUGUGUGCUCUUGUUUGCCGAGGCAGGAAGCUACCACUUCUAGAAUAGAAGCUUCUUCUCUGCUUUUUAAGUCAAAACUAUUAAUUCCUACGAAUAUGCUGUAGGAGUAGUUUUGUGGUAGAUGGGGGGAUUUCGUUAACUUGAUGGCCAGAUCUUGAAACACCAAAUGCUAUGUGGUAGGAUUCAUAUAUCUGGGGGUCUAUGAAUUGCACUUCAAUAUAUGAAGAAGUGGCACAAAAUUGUGCUGAGUGUGGAACAUAGAAUUCAUUUUGAGAUGGAAACCUCAUUCAACAAUUGUUCUAUGUUUAUGUUUACAGUAUAUUGAUUUUUAUACACGUUUUCCCAGACUCUGUAGUCUGAUGCAAAUACACUGGUUAUUUUAGACCUUUUAAGUUGUCUUGUCAAUUUGCAAUGUGCUGGAGUCGUAUUCCAACAGUAAUUCACUGGAAGAUCAGCUUUUAGUACCAAAUUCUUUCUUUCAUUUUGGUAGACAAGUGCAAAUUUUAUUCCUUAUGUCUUGUAAUGGCAGGUUUCGAUAUUUUUGUCAAGCUAAUUUAUGGAGUGGUCAAUUUUCAAAAGAGAAUGUGCUUUUUUCCCUUAUGUUAAUGGGUUUUCUCAUGAAGAUGAAGAAUGUACGACUUCACAAUCUUGUAUGACUUUGUUCCUUAGUGUGUGUAAAUAUGAUGAAGUGUUAAAAGCCUGAAACAACAAAUAUUCUCUUGGUGUUAGGAUCUUUUUAGUAUUCUUUGCACAAAUAAUAAAAACAGUGAUGUUGAGCAUACGCCCGUGCUCUGCACGGGCACGGGCCAUCUAGUAUUUAAACUAUUAAUAAGUGAAGCUUUUUGAACGACGAAGGGUAUUUCUGUCAUUUUACAUUUGGGCUUAAAUUGAGUCAAUUUAGCUUUCCAGGUGUAACAUGUACAACACACCCGCGUAGUUAUUUUCAUUUCUCUCUCUCUCAAUGCUUCUUCCAAUUUUCUCCGCUAGCUUUUCGUACGCACUCUGGUGGAUUCUCUCACCGUCUUCCGUGUUUAUUAGUUUCAUUCUCAGGUCCCGAUAGGAUUUACCAGGUGAGCGUUGAUUUCAUAUUUUUUUUAAUUGUUUUUGGAGUCUGUUUUUUUUUUUUUUUUUUGGAGUCUCUACAUGAUGUAAAAGAAAUGUGAUUCUUCUAUUGUGCUCUUUCUUGAUGAUAUGUGGUUUUUAAAAGCAAGUUGUUUUAUUAUAGUAUUAAUGCAGUGAAUGGACACACUGACUCGCCCUGUGGUUUUUGCAGCAUCGAGUAAUAUUAUGUCAUAUUAAUUCAGAUGUGUGGUCUACUUUGAUAAGUGAACUGCGGAGAACUCAUAUUAAGAGGUUACCUCCUUGUAGGAAAAAAGUUCAGAUUUUUUCAUCCUCUAUGGUUUUCUUCUGGCACAUGUAUUUGAAGCAGAAAACUGAUUUAGAUGGAUGAAAAUGGGCUUGCAUGGACAUUGGAAGAUAUUAUAGUUUGAUAGCCUCAUGUUUGUGUAAGCGUAACUAAAGUGAUAGAUUGUAAGUACCUUUUAUCUAUAUUGUUGUAGUUCAGUAAGAGAGUUCCUUCAGCUAACUUAUUCAUCAGUGUCAAACCUUUGUUGGUGAUCAUGUAAUUACACAAAUAAUGAACACAGCUAUAUCGAGCA